AUACGGAGGAUCCGAGCGUUAUCCGGAUUUAUUGGGUUUAAAGGGAGCGUAGGCGGACGCUUAAGUCAGUUGUGAAAGUUUGCGGCUCAACCGUAAAAUUGCAGUUGAUACUGGGUGUCUUGAGUACAGUAGAGGCAGGCGGGAUUCGUGGUGUAGCGGGGAAAUGCUUAGAUAUCACGAAGAACUCCGAUUGCGAAGGCAGCCUGCUGGACUGUAACUGACGCUGAUGCUCGAAAGUGUGGGUAUCAAACAGGAUUAGAUACCCUGGUAGUCCACACAGUAAACGAUGAAUACUCGCUGUUUGCGAUAUACAGUAAGCGGCCAAGCGAAAGCGUUAAGUAUUCCACCUGGGGAGUACGCCGGCAACGGUGAAACUCAAAUGAAUUGGCGGGG
rnacentral:rRNA from 1 species